CACAAAACGAUAGAGUUCUUGCUUGAUUCUUAGUGAAGUCAGGUGGGGGCCAGUUAAACUUCUACCUUGGACUUCUGAAGGGCAGGCUUUGAACUCUUCAGGACACUGGU
ensembl:miRNA